GAUGAACGCUGGCGGUGUGCCUAAUACAUGCAAGUCGAGCGACCGGACGAUAAGCUUGCUCCUCUGCUGUUAGCGGCUGACGGGCGGGUAAGGCGUACAUAACCUACCUAUAAUACUGGGAUAAUUUCGGGAAGACGCAGCUACUACCAGCUAAUACUUUGUACCGCAUGGUUCAAAAGUGAAUGACGGCUUUGCCGUCACUUAUAGAUGGUUUCGCGCUGCAUUAGCUAGUUGGUAAGGUAACGGCUUACCAAGGCAACGAUGCAUAGCCGACCUGAGAGGGUGAUCGGCCACACUGGAACUGAGACACGGUCCAGACUCCUACGGGAGGCAGCAGUGGGGAAUCUUGCGCAAUGGGCGAAAGCCUGACGGAGCAAUGCCGCGUGAGUGAUGAAGGUCUUCGGAUCGUAAAGCUCUGUUGUUAGGGAAGAACAUCUGUGGAAGUAACUGUGCACAUCUUGACGGUACCUAAACAGAAAGCCACGGCUAACUACGUG
rnacentral:rRNA from 1 species